GACGCAGUAGGACUUAUUUGUUACCAAAGCCGGUUUGCUUGGGGGACGUUGUUCGCUGAUACACACAUACUGUUUGUGUGUGCGUGUUUUUUUUUUUAAUUACGCCGUCAGCACCUUUAAUUAUAAGGGACUGCUGUGCUUAAUCCAGAUAUAAAUUCACACAACCGAUGCUUGACUACACCUAAAGCAGUUUUACCACCGCCCAGUUAGUCGAUAGCCAUCAUGGGACGAAGCCGAUCACGGGACAGGUCAAGCAGCAGGAGCAGAAGCACGAGCGCACGGCAGAAGAAGGAGGCGAAGAAGAAGAGAAGCAGGAGUUCCUCCAGCAGCAGUGCAAGCAGCCCCUCCCCACACAGGAAACGGCCUCAGUCCUCCAGCAAAAACCAAGAUUCCGCCAAAGGAAAACAAGAAAAGAAGAAAUUAAAAAAGAAGCAAAGGUCCUCAUCUUCGUCCUCUGAUUCGUCUUCCUCGGAGUCCAGCGACGCCAAGUCCAGGAAGAAGGCCAAGCGCACACUGAAGAAGGUCAAAGCCAAGGAAAAGGAGGAGAAAAAGAAGCAGAAGAAGAUGAGAAAGAAAAUGAAGAAACUGAGAAAGAAAGCAGAGAAGGUGGAGAAAGCAGUGCAGGCAGAGAAAGCAGCUGCCUUGCUGAAGGCAGAGGAUGCAGGUCUGGAGACCUGGCAAAGUGAGCUGUCGGUGGAGCUGGGACCAGCAAUGACGGAUGAGCAGAAGGCUAGACUCUCCACCAAGAGGCCUAUGACCAAAGAAGAGUGGGACGCAAGACAGAGUGUCAUUCGUAGGGUCAUUGAUCCAGAGACUGGGAGGACAAGGAUUGUGAAGGGUGAUGGGGAGAUACUGGAAGAAAUUGUAAGCAAAGAGAAGCACAAAGACAUAAAUAAGCAAGCAACUUCAGCUGACGGGUAUUAUUUCCAGAAGAGAAUGGGACUCAAUCGGUAGAGCUCCUGAAAUCCAGACAGGAAUGUGGACAGUUAACAUUUCCUCUCCACGUCAGUGGAAGAAGACCCCUCCCUCGCCACCAGGUUUGCCCAUCUUUUGCCGCAAUGACGGCUCCACAAGAUGCCUGAAGAUGUAUGAACUGCAUCUGGGUUAGUGAAGUAGGCCAAAGGAUUCCUUCCGCCAAUGCUGCGCUCGAGUUCAUCCCACAUAUGCUCAAAUGGAUUGAGAUCCAGGGAUUGUGCCAGCCACGGAAGAGGUCUGCUAAAGUCUGAUCAAGUCACUGACAAUACCUCAGUGGUGGGCUCUCACAUUAUUUUAAAAAGAUCUCCCUGUCAGCGAAGGUGUUUAUCCUUGUGGGUGGACUUGAUCAGUGUUCAGGUGCAUUCGUUAAUCACCCUUCCAGGGGACUCAAAGGAUAGCCUGUUUGGAGGGUCCGGUGCAAACGGGAGGGAGUUGGAUCCUAGCCAGUGUCCAAUGAGUGAAGAACUUCUGAAUAUGAACACGUUUGGAAAGGUGUACCGAUUACACUAGUCACCCCUUGGUUGGUCACACUGUAACAUUUUUAUUUAGUUUUAUUUUAGUCUGAAUAUUUUAGUUUAAAAACUGUUGUUCAUUAAAUAUUUACAAUAUAUAUGCCAAUCAGGUUAAACAGAUUGAACUUCAGUGUAGGAUUAGCUAAUUGAACUAGGUGUGUUAUUCAGUCACAAUUAAGGACUUCAGUGUUAAGUAUUUUGCACUAAAUAUAUAGGAAGUUAUCUACUGUAUGUCAACCGGUACCCCCAGUUUUAUAUAUGUAUUUAUCUUAUUUAGCUAUUAAAUUAAAAUACAACCCAUUAGUA